rnacentral:rRNA from 1 species
GAAAAAAUUAAGAAGUGUUUAAAGCAGGCUCACGCUUGAAUACAUUAGCAUGGAAUAACGAAAUAGGACGUUUGAUUCUAUUUGUUGGUUUCUAGGAUCGACGUAAUGAUUAAUAGGGAUAGUUGGGGGCAUUAGUAUUCAAUUGUCAGAGGUGAAAUUCUUUGGAUUUAUUGAAGACUAACUACUGCGAAAAGCAUUUUGCCAAGGAUGUUUUCAUUAAUCAAGAACGAAAGUUAGGGGAUCGAAGACGAUCAGAUACCGUUGUAGUCUUAACCAUAAACUAUGCCGACUAGGGAUCGGAUGAUGUUAAUUUUUAAUGACUCAUUCGGCGCCUUACG